rfam:Capsicum annuum cultivar Zunla-1 chromosome 7, whole genome shotgun sequence
UCUUCAUAAUGUGGGAAUUGAGAUAUCUUACCGUUAAACCUCUCCUAAGCUUCAAACAAUGACACUCCAUUCAUUUGUUAAAAAUUCACAAUCUCGUCCCGCUUUUGAAGAA